CUUGGAUCUGAUCCCUGGCCCAGGUCACCCAGCUAGAAAUUAACUAACCUGGGCUUUGAACAAAUGCUGCAUUGUCUAUGAAACCAAACAAAUGGGAGCUGAAAACACGCCCAUUGUUUUGUUUCUUCCACAAUCUUUGAAACUUCUUUAGCAUUUCUCCAAGAUCUCCUGGGCCUCACCCAAGAGGGAGACUGUCACUUGACUAUCUGAUGAAGGGGAUGGAAGUGGCAAUUCUACCCUACGUUGCAUCUUUUGUGUUUGCCAGGGAAGGUAUUGAACAAGUGGGAAGGAGAUGCGGCAAGAUGAGGGUGAAGAAAGGGGCCCGGUUUGUCAGGACAGCCUCAGGCCGUGGACCUACCCCAAUCCAGUCUCUUCUAAAUAGGAACUCCCCUUGUUUUCUUUUAGGAGCAGCAGUCCUUUGAUGUUCGGACUGCCAGGUCUUUCGUUGCAAAAACUGAUUUCCCCCACCCCUUGCCUCUGCUGAAUAACCUACACCUCUCAACAUUUAGGUGAGCUGCUUCUAUUUUGUUUGCAGUUGACACAGCUCAAACCAGGUAUGUUUACCCGAAAAGAAGAAACUGAGGUGUUCCCACGGUGGCGCAACAGGAUCAGCAGCGGCUCUGCAGGGCCGAGACGCAGGUUCAAUCCCCAGCCUGGCACGGUGUGUUAAAGCAUCCAGCGACGCCGCAGGUGCGGCGGCGUCUAGGUGGAAACUGCUCCUGCACAAGGCACAGCUGUGGCUUGGAUCUGAUCCCUGGCCCAGGUCACCCAGCUAGAAAUUAACUAACCUGGGCUUUGAACAAAUGCUGCAUUGUCUAUGAAACCAAACAAAUGGGAGCUGAAAACACGCCCAUUGUUUUGUUUCUUCCACAAUCUUUGAAACUUCUUUAGCAUUUCUCCAAGAUCUCCUGGGCCUCACCCAAGAGGGAGACUGUCACUUGACUAUCUGAUGAAGGGGAUGGAAGUGGCAAUUCUACCCUACGUUGCAUCUUUUGUGUUUGCCAGGGAAGGUAUUGAACAAGUGGGAAGGAGAUGCGGCAAGAUGAGGGUGAAGAAAGGGGCCCGGUUUGUCAGGACAGCCUCAGGCCGUGGACCUACCCCAAUCCAGUCUCUUCUAAAUAGGAAUUCCAGGGCGUUCCCAUCGUGGCUCAGUGGUUAA
rnacentral:lncRNA from 9 species